rnacentral:rRNA from 1 species
ACUCAAAGGAAUUGACGGGGACCCGCACAAGCAGUGGAGCGUGUGGUUUAAUUCGAUUCAAAGCGAAGAACCUUACCAGGGCUCGACAUGUAUCUGCAAGCGCACGGAAACGUGUGAUCUUCGAGAGUGAUACAAAGCUGCUGCAUGGCCGUCUUCAGCUCGUUCCGUGAGGAGUACCCUUGAGUGGGUUAACGAGCGCAACCCUUACUCUUUGUUAAAUUUAUUCAAAGAGAACUGCCUUGGCAAAACCAGGGAGGAAGGCGGGGACGACGUCAGGUCAGCACGGUGCUUAUGUCCUGGGCUACACACACCCUACAAUGGCGAACAACAAUGAGUCGCAAGACCGUAAGGUUAAGCAAAUCUCUGAAAUUUCGCCUCAGUUCAGAUUGAGGGCUGCAAUUCGCCCUCAUGAAGUUGGAAUUGCUAGUAAUGGCCAAUCAGCAGGUGGCCGUGAAUACGUUCUCGGGUCUUGUACACACCGCCCGU